rnacentral:rRNA from 1 species
UACGGAGGGUGCAAGCGUUGUUCGGAAUUAUUGGGCGUAAGGGGCGCGUAGGCGGUGCGGUAAGUCUGUAGUGAAAUCUCUGGGCUCAACUCAGAGUCUGCUGCAGAAACUGCCGUGCUUGAGUGUGGGAGAGGUGAGUGGAAUUCCCGGUGUAGCGGUGGAAUGCGUAGAGAUCCGGAGGAAGACCGGUGGCGAAGGCGGCCUGCUGGGCAGUUUCUGACACUGAUGCGCGACAGCGUGGGGAGCAAACAGG